rnacentral:rRNA from 1 species
AUGGCGAAACCCACAAGCCAGUCGGCGGCAGCGCUCGCCAUCCUGAUGCUCGCCGUGGCCACCCUCGCUGUCGCCCAGGCGCCGCCGCCGCCCCAACGGAGCGGCCAGGAGCGUCACCUGUUCCAGGUGACGGUUCGCGAGGUGGACGGCGCCGUGGAAGACGACUACAACUACAACCUGCUCGGCACCGUGCUCGGCGGCUACGAGGCCGCACGGGGCGUCAUGUUUGAGACCGAGCCCCUGAGGUUCAGCGCCUACCUCACCAACAACCAGGCCCGCAGGCUAUCAAGAGUCAAGGGGGUGCUCGGAGUUCGUCAGAGGGACGAUCCUGUGCCCAGGGCCAAGCACUGA